rnacentral:rRNA from 1 species
UGCCUUUCGACUUUACUAUGGAAGGUUCAUCCUGCCCAAUGACUCUUAGUUCAAUGGCCGCGGUAUCUUGACCGUGCAAAGGUAGCAUAAUCACUUGCCCCUUAAUUAGGGGCUGGCAUGAAAGGACACACGAAAGCUUCCCUGUCUCACAAUAAUAAAUAAAAAUUAAUCUUUAAGUGAAAAAGCUUAAAUAAAAUUGCAGGACAAGAAGACCCCGUUGAGCUUUAUUCUCUAUAGACCAAUCUAAAUAUUUAUUAUAUCAUAAACCUAAAAAAGAAUUUAGUUGGGGUGACUAAGGAACAUCAUAAACUUCCUCUAUCUAUUUAGGGCUAUUCCCCAAAAAAAUUGACCCACAAACCGUGAUCANAAAAAUAAGCUACCACAGGGAUAACAGGCUAAUCUUUCUUAAGAGCCCAAAUUGUCAGAAAGGAUUGGCACCUCGAUGUUGGCUUAGGGGCCCCUAAUGGUGCAGAAGCCAUAAAAGGUAGGUUUGUUCAACCUUUAAAACCCU